rnacentral:rRNA from 1 species
CGAACGCUGGCGGCGUGCUUAACACAUGCAAGUCGAACGAGAAAGUUUCCUUCGGGAAACGAGUAGAGUGGCGCACGGGUGAGUAACGCGUAGGUAAUCUACCCUUAUACCUGGGAUAACAUUGGGAAACUGGUGCUAAUACCGGAUGGUCUUCUUUGCUGCGGGGCAGAGGAGUAAAGGUGGCCUCUUCAUGAAAGCUACCGUACAGGGAUGAGCCUGCGUACCAUUAGCUAGUAGGCGGGGUAACGGCCCACCUAGGCAACGAUGGUUAGCGGGUCUGAGAGGAUGAUCCGCCACACUGGAACUGGAACACGGACCAGACUCCUACGGGAGGCAGCAGUGAGGAAUAUUGCGCAAUGGGGGAAACCCUGACGCAGCGACGCCGCGUGAGUGAGGAAGGUUUUCGGAUCGUAAAGCUCUGUCAGAAGGGAAGAAAUGCUAGGCAGUUAAUACCUGUUUAGUUUGACGGUACCUUCAGAGGAAGCACCGGCUAACUCC